UGCAGUCGAACGAUGAACCUCCUUCGGGAGGGGAUUAGUGGCGAACGGGUGAGUAACACGUGGGCAAUCUGCCCUGCACUCUGGGACAAGCCCUGGAAACGGGGUCUAAUACCGGAUACUGACCCGCUUGGGCAUCCAAGCGGUUCGAAAGCUCCGGCGGUGCAGGAUGAGCCCGCGGCCUAUCAGCUUGUUGGUGAGGUAAUGGCUCACCAAGGCGACGACGGGUAGCCGGCCUGAGAGGGCGACCGGCCACACUGGGACUGAGACACGGCCCAGACUCCUACGGGAGGCAGCAGUGGGGAAUAUUGCACAAUGGGCGAAAGCCUGAUGCAGCGACGCCGCGUGAGGGAUGACGGCCUUCGGGUUGUAAACCUCUUUCAGCAGGGAAGAAGCGAAAGUGACGGUACCUGCAGAAGAAGCGCCGGCUAACUACGUGCCAGCAGCCGCGGUAAUACGUAGGGCGCGAGCGUUGUCCGGAAUUAUUGGGCGUAAAGAGCUCGUAGGCGGCUUGUCACGUCGGUUGUGAAAGCCCGGGGCUUAACCCCGGGUCUGCAGUCGAUACGGGCAGGCUAGAGUUCGGUAGGGGAGAUCGGAAUUCCUGGUGUAGCGGUGAAAUGCGCAGAUAUCAGGAGGAACACCGGUGGCGAAGGCGGAUCUCUGGGCCGAUACUGACGCUGAGGAGCGAAAGCGUGGGGAGCGAACAGGAUUAGAUACCCUGGUAGUCCACGCCGUAAAC
rnacentral:rRNA from 1 species